UCUCAAGCCCCAAAGGUUGAAGUGGAUUGGCUGUGUGUGGGUAUAUAUAGGGUCUAUCAGUCCAUCUCGCAGUCAAAGUAGAUGACUGUGUUUUACCUGAAGCAUUCAUUUUCAGCUGUUCUUGUCAAGACGAAAAGGGGUUCCCCGAUGGAGGAGCAAAUGAUGGGUGACGCACCUGCUGCAGACCUUCCCGCUCCUCCGGUCAGUGAUGACUCAGAGGAAGAGGAGGAAAAAGCCGCCGCAGCCCCCAAAGCAGCCGCCGCCGCCCCGCUGAACUCGGAGGAGGCUGGCGAGGACGGAGCCGAGGAGGAGGAAGCGGCAGAGGCGGCCGAAGAGGAACCCGCGGCCGAGGCAGAACCCGCGGCCGAGGCAGAACCCGCGGCCGAGGCAGAACCUGCGGCCGAACCCGCGGCCGAAGGGGCUACUGAAGCUGUUGCCGAGCCUGCUGCCGAAGCUGCCGCUGUCGACCCGGCCGUAGUGGAGGCCCCUGCUGCGGAGGUAGUCCCAGCCGACGCCACUCCCGUGGUGGAGGCGGCCGCGGUGGAGGCUCCAGCGGUGGAGGCUCCCGCGGUGGAGGCUGCAGCGGUGGAGGUUCCCGCCGCGGAGGCUGCCGCGGUCGAGGCUCAAGUGGUCGAGGCUGCAGCGGUGGAGGCUGCCGUGGUAGCGGUGGAAGCGGUGCCAGAGCUGGUGGUACUAGCGGGUCCCGUGGAGGUCCAGGCUGGGACAGCGUAAUCGCCCCAGUUUGUCACCUCAAUUUCUCUCCUACUGACCUGAGUAUUAUGUCUCAGUAGGCCUAGGUCAUGUUAAUGACGGCGGCAGAUUUUUUGUCAUUUUGCCGGAUCAUUGGACAGAUCACAGGCCGCAUAUGGUCAGCCCAGACUGAUGUUAUUUUUCUUAUGUCAUUUACUUGAUGAUGUUUGUGAUGAUCUGUGAAAAUAAAUAUGUGGUGGUUGAAUGCAUCCACUCAUCAGGUUUAUUGUAUUACACUUAAAACGGAUCAAAUUGAUUAAAAGGUAACCAUUUACAAUAAGGGUACAAUAAUGAACUAUCAAUCUAAAUUAGUUAAUGCGAUUAUAAGCAUUAUCUAACAAUAACAAGAAGAUAAUUAACUUCUUAACGAAUAAUGGUGUAGUAGUCAUUACUUGUUAACUAAGUCAGUUUUUGAUUUAUACUUUUUCUAAUAGCACACAAAUUAAUAUAUUUGUUGUAUUAUAUUGAAUGAUUACUAGACCAUAAAUUAACUGUAAAUAAGCCCUUAGUUCACAUCACUCAUGGUUAACCUCUUUACCCUUAUUGUAAAGUGUUACCGAAUAACAGAUUACUACAGUUGAUCUUUUAGCAAUCCUUAAACAAUCAUAUUUCCAUAUCAAACCUAUAGUUAACCUAUCAUAAAAUAUAUACUAUAGCCUACAUUGCAUUUCCGUUAUUAGUCGUCGGCUCUGCUGUUUGGAUGCGAAUUGUCCAUCACCCACAGAACACUGCAGCCAAAGGAUCUUCCCAUGGGAUCGCAGAUUCAUCUAACAUGCAGUAGAUGUAGGCUACCAUUGUAACAAUCAAGCUCAGAUCUACAGAUGGGAUGGUUCGGACAGUCAUUUAUCACCACAUAUAAAUGCACAAGGGAUCGUGUGGCUCCAGUAGGACAGCAUUAGCAGCAGAACCGGUACACUCCCGGUGGAUUUGCUACAGCUUUAAUAGGAUAUAGAGGGGAUAGGCUAGAGUGCUGAGUAAGCACUUAACCAGCCAGGGAGGACUGAAGCGCUUAGAAUCCCUCCAAUAUAUAUUGGACAUAAUGCCCCCCCCCCCCUUAUGGGGAAAACAAACCACCUUACAUUAAGGAUCAGAGCUCUGUUUCAUAUUUCGUGUUUUGUUCUUUUUUUUUUUCUUUUACAUUCCUGGAUAACAAGUAAAUCCAGGAGAGUGCAAUUUUCU
ensembl:lncRNA